UACGUAGGGGGCAAGCGUUGUCCGGAAUCAUUGGGCGUAAAGCGCGUGUAGGCGGUCCGAUAAGUCGGUUGUGAAAGUCAAGGGCUCAACCCUUGAAUGCCGACCGAUACUGUCGGGCUAGAGUCCGGAAGAGGCGAGUGGAAUUCCUGGUGUAGCGGUGAAAUGCGCAGAUAUCAGGAGGAACACCGGUGGCGAAGGCGGGUCUCUGGGCAGUAACUGACGCUGAGGAGCGAAAGCGUGGGGAGCGAACAGG
rnacentral:rRNA from 1 species